rnacentral:rRNA from 1 species
CCUACGGGAGGCUGCAGUGAGGAAUAUUGGUCAAUGGGCGGAAGCCUGAACCAGCCAAGUAGCGUGCGGGAUGAAGGCCCUACGGGUCGUAAACCGCUUUUGCACGGGGAUAACACCCUCCACCUGUGUAGGUCUGCACGUACCGCGCGAAUAAGGGCCGGCUAAUUCCGUGCCAGCAGCCGCGGUAAUCCGGAGGGCCCGAGCGUUAUCCGGAGUCAUUGGGCUGAAAGGGAGCGUAGGCGGGCGCUCAAGCCAGCGGUAAAAGCGCGCGGCUAAACCGCGCACCGCAGUUGAAACUGGACGGCUGGAGUGCAGGACAGGCAGGCGGAAUUCGUGGUGUAGCGGUGAAAUGCGUAGAUAUCACGAGGAACCCC